ACGGCUCAGUAACACGUGGACAAUCUGCCCUGAAGAAGAGAAUAAUCCCGGGAAACUGGGGGUAAUGCUCUAUAGUCCGGGGAAACUGGAAUGUUUCCCGGAUGAAAGAUCCGUCGCUUCAGGAUGAGUCUGCGGCCGAUUAGGUAGUUGUUGGGGUAAAAGCCCAACAAGCCCGUAAUCGGUACGGGUUGUGGGAGCAAGAGCCCGGAGAUGGAUUCUGAGACACGAAUCCAGGCCCUACGGGGCGCAGCAGGCGCGAAAACUUUACAAUGCGGGCAACCGUGAUAAGGAAACCCCGAGUGCCAGCACAGGCUGGCUGUCCACCAGUGUAAAAAACUGGUGAAGAAAGGGCCGGGCAAGACCGGUGCCAGCCGCCGCGGUAAUACCGGCGGCUCGAGUGGUGGCCGCUUUUACUGGGCUUAAAGGGUCCGUAGCUGGAUCUGCAAGUCCCUUGAGAAAUCCAUCGGCUUAACUGAUGGGCGUUCAGGGGAUACUGUGGUUCUAGGGACCGGGAGAGGUGAGAGGUACUGCCGGGGUAGGAGUGAAAUCCUGUAAUCCCGGUGGGACGACCUAUGGCGAAGGCAUCUCACCAGAACGGCUCCGACAGUGAGGGACGAAAGCUGGGGGAGCAAACCGGAUUAGAUACCCGGGUAGUCCCAGCUGUAAACGAUGCGCGUUAGGUGUGUCAGUGACCACGUGUCACUGAGGUGCCGAAGGGAAACCGUGAAACGCGCCGCCUGGGGAGUACGGUCGCAAGGCUGAAACUUAAAGGAAUUGGCGGGGGAGCAC
rnacentral:rRNA from 1 species